UACGUAGGGUGCGAGCGUUAAUCGGAAUUACUGGGCGUAAAGCGUGCGCAGGCGGUUUGUUAAGUCAGAUGUGAAAGCCCCGGGCUCAACCUGGGAAUGGCAUUUGAAACUGGCAGGCUGGAGUACGGCAGAGGGGGGUGGAAUUCCACGUGUAGCAGUGAAAUGCGUAGAGAUGAUGGAGGAACACCGAUGGCGAAGGCAGCCCCCUGGGUCAAAACUGACGCUCAUGCACGAAAGCGUGGGGAGCAAACAGG
rnacentral:rRNA from 1 species